rfam:Triticum aestivum genome assembly, contig: Triticum_aestivum_CS42_TGACv1_scaffold_577415_7BL
CAACUACUCCCUCUGUCCCAAAUUUCUUGUCUUAUAUUUGUCUAGAUACGGAUGUAUCUAAUACUAAAAUGUGACUUGAUACAUCCGUAUCUAGACAAAUCUAAGACAAGAAUUUUGGGACGGAGGGAGUACUUU